UACGAAGGGGGCUAGCGUUGCUCGGAAUCACUGGGCGUAAAGCGCACGUAGGCGGCUUACUAAGUCAGGGGUGAAAUCCUGGAGCUCAACUCCAGAACUGCCUUUGAUACUGGUGAGCUUGAGUCCGGAAGAGGUGAGUGGAACUGCGAGUGUAGAGGUGAAAUUCGUAGAUAUUCGCAAGAACACCAGUGGCGAAGGCGGCUCACUGGUCCGGUACUGACGCUGAGGUGCGGAAAGCGUGGGGAGCAAAGCGGGG
rnacentral:rRNA from 1 species